rnacentral:rRNA from 1 species
UACGUAGGGUGCCAGCGUUGUCCGGAAUUACUGGGCGUAAAGAGCUCGUAGGUGGUUUGUCGCGUUGUUCGUGAAAACUCACAGCUCAACUGUGGGCGUGCGGGCGAUACGGGCAGACUGGAGUACUGCAGGGGAGACUGGAAUUCCUGGUGUAGCGGUGGAAUGCGCAGAUAUCAGGAGGAACACCGGUGGCGAAGGCGGGUCUCUGGGCAGUAACUGACGCUGAGGAGCGAAAGCGUGGGGAGCGAACAGG